CAGUAGCCACGGGAAUGCGAAGGGUGCAAGCGUUACUCGGAAUUACUGGGCGUAAAGCGUGCGUAGGUGGUGGUUUAAGUCCGUUGUGAAAGCCCUGGGCUCAACCUGGGAAUUGCAGUGGAUACUGGGUCACUAGAGUGUGGUAGAGGAUAGUGGAAUUUCCGGUGUAGCAGUGAAAUGCGUAGAUAUCGGAAGGAACACCUGUGGCGAAAGCGGCUCACUGGACCAUUACUGACGCUGAGGCGCGAAAGCUAGGAGAGCAAACAGGAUUAGAUACCCCCGUAGUCCCUGUCUCUUAUAC
rnacentral:rRNA from 1 species